rnacentral:lncRNA from 1 species
GCCCACCAGUUUGCCUGGCACUUUGUCCAGUUCACCAUGCAACCUGCUUCUGCAAAGUGGAAGACUGAAUGGGCUAUAUGAUGGAUCACAUGGGUGGUGAUGAGGAUGCAGAUUUACCAGAAGUAGAUGGAGCAGAUGAUGAUUCACAAGACAGUGAUGAUGAAAAAAUGCCAGAUCUGGAGUAAAGAGUGGUGUCACCACCUGGAUUUUGAGGGAAAAAAAUAACUUCUGCUUAUGCCCUGGCUGGAAAACCUCAAUUUAUGUUCAUGACAGUGGGGAUUUUUUUAAAUGUCUACAUUCUUUCUAAUAAACUGUUGGAUGAUUUUAAAAAAAUAAAUAAAAAAAUAAAAGUGACUUUGGACUAUU